UACGUAGGUGGCGAGCGUUGUCCGGAUUUACUGGGCGUAAAGGGCGUGCAGGCGGUUUGCUAAGUCUAGGGUGAAAGCUCCCGGCUUAACUGGGAGAGGUCCUUGGAUACUGGCAGACUUGAGGAGGGUAGAGGAGAGUGGAAUUCCCGGUGUAGUGGUGAUAUGCGUAGAUAUCUGGAGGAAUACCGGUGGCGAAGGCGGCAUCCUGGACCGGCAUUGACGCUGAGGAGCGAAAGCCAGGGGAGCAAACGGG
rnacentral:rRNA from 1 species